rnacentral:rRNA from 1 species
UGGGGAAUAUUGGACAAUGGGCGAAAGCCUGAUCCAGCCAUGCCGCGUGUGUGAAGAAGGUCUUCGGAUUGUAAAGCACUUUAAGUUGGGAGGAAGGGUUGUAGAUUAAUACUCUGCAAUUUUGACGUUACCGACAGAAUAAGCACCGGCUAACUCUGUGCCAGCAGCCGCGGUAAUACAGAGGGUGCAAGCGUUAAUCGGAAUUACUGGGCGUAAGGCGCGCGUAGGUGGUUAGUUAAGUUGGAUGUGAAAUCCCCGGGCUCAACCUGGGAACUGCAUUCAAAACUGACUGACUAGAGUAUGGUAGAGGGUGGUGGAAUUUCCUGUGUAGCGGUGAAAUGCGUAGAUAUAGGAAGGAACACCAGUGGCGAAGGCGACCACCUGGACUGAUACUGACACUGAGGUGCGAAAGCUUGGGGAGCAAACA